UACAAGACAUUACUUUUUUGUGUGUCUUGUCAAAAAUUCAGAACUGUAAUUGCAACCUAAUAUUUUCUACUCUGGAAACAUCUGAACAUACUGCUCCAGAGACUUAUCUGCCCUAGUUUUCUCCACCAAUCAUUGAAGGAUUAUCUCAAAUGGUUGCACCUGAGUAAGUUCCACCUUGCUGGUUUUGAUUACCACCAGGUUAAGCUGCUUGAGAAUUUGACAAAUAUACUUUCCAUGACACCAACCAAAUGUUUCUGUCAGCACAAUAAUCUGUGGUGUUAAACACACAUUUUUGGAAACAGAUAACGAAACACCAGCAUAGCUUGUGUGCUGCAGCUCAUGCAUGAUGGCUGUGUCUGCCUACCUUUUAAGCAUGGUUCUGUUUUGCCUGUUAAAUGUAGCAGUAAACUGGAUCUUUUCCAAGAGGCUGCAGUUAUGGCUAUGCUGAGAGUGGACAGCGUCUCACUGUAGAGCCCCAGUACUACAGAGCUGCACAUUAUCCCAGCCAGCAUGACCAGGUCCACAGUUCCUCAGCCUGGAGUAGCACUUUUCCUGCUGACCUCAGGUCAAAAAGUGCUCCAGUAGAUUUCCGCCUAACUAUAUCCUUCCAACGCCUCUCAAGUCCACCGACAACCUCUACCAGUAGUCCUGGCUCUAAUCAGAAAGGCGGCAUUCCAGUCAACCCCCUGUGAUGUCACAGAGAAACAAAAUGUUACAAAGACAAAGUGGAUUAAACCCAAAUGCAGCCAACCAGUUCUCCCAGAUUACCAGUGAUUCAAGCAUGGAGGCUGAGAGUGGUGAAGAGCCUAGUCCUGUCCAACCCACUCCUGAAUCAGAUGAAGGUGCAGGUCCCAGAGGAUUUAUGCCACAAAUACUUCCUCAGAGAAACUACACCCAGUCCUAGAGUGUAGGCUCCCGUGGUGAUGUCGUUUCAGGAAGACCUGAAUUCAGGAUGACUUAAGUGCAGGCUCGGUGAUCUCCUGACCAUGGACUUCAAUUCUCUACAGCACUUUGAUUACUAGUAAAUAAUUCAAUAUUUCACUGGAGGUCCUUUGUCUAUUAACUACGUGGGCUAUUGGCUCUGACCAGUAAGAAACUUGGUCUAAACAUGGCUCUUAAAGCUUUAGGGGCUUUGUGUGUCAAGAGUAUCCAAUAUGGGUUACACUCAACCCAAGUUAGAAAUCUUUCUUUAGUUGCUUUAAAUGCAUCUGCAGGGGUCUCAUUACUUGCUUUGUUCUUUAGUAGUACAUGCACUUUAAUUGAAUUAAAUCAGAUUUGUACAGCCAAAGCAGUGUUGGGCAAAACUGCAUGUUAAAGGCCCAUGGCAAUCAACAAGGUUUUUCUGUGUUUUAUAUACAUUUCCACACUGAGGUUGGAAUAAUGUGAAAAUAAUGCAGUUUUGAAAAGAACACCUGAAAUUUCAGCCUGUUUAGGUGGGAUUGAUUUUUGGAAGUUAGACCAAUUACUUUCAAACCUAUGUCAAUAAUGGAUAGUUUUUAGGUUACAGAUCCCUCCUAAUAAGGCCCUUCACUCAGUCCGAGCUAAAUUCUUGCUUGAGAAAUUGCUCUUUGCUAAGAAGCUUUUAAAAACCCAUUUCUGACCAUAUCAAUUGAAAAGAACAGUAUGAAGGUACUUCAUUGUUCCCUGAAUUAUUUUAUAUUGAGGCAAACUGCUGCAUUGGACCUUGAAAGAAUGGCAUAAGCUUGAAUGCACUAGGUGUGAGGAAAUACCAUUUGAUUUUUGUUCAAACAUCCUUAACAUUUCUGGGAUUACAUCUUUAUAAUGAGGACUAGAAGUAACUCCACAGGGCUUAAGCUAACACUGCAAUUACAUUCUGUACAUAUCAACUGGUAUUCACAGGUUUGAAAUACAAUGGAUGUCAAAAGUUGUCAUGAGGUGCCUUGCUCUAUGGUCCAUAUCAGCUGCUAGAAACCUUUGGCACCAUUACAAAUGAGGAUAUUGUCUAUUCAACCAUGUAUGAUUUUGUCACUCAAUGAGUUGUAGCUGUGGGUGGCAGGUGUGGUAAUUUGACUUGUCACGUGUAUGGCAUUUGUGUUAAGAUGUCGCACUGCGCAGUUGCCGACAUUGCAUAGAGGGUGUGUUCAAAAGAACUCCAGAUCAAAGAAAUGCUCUUUUAUUGGGGAGUCUCACAGGAGACACGUUAACUUCAAAGACUAACGAGUUGGAGCUCUUCCUUUGCUUGUUGCAAUAGGUCUG